rnacentral:rRNA from 1 species
GAAGGGGGCUAGCGUUGUUCGGAAUUACUGGGCGUAAAGCGCGCGUAGGCGGAUACUUAAGUCAGGGGUGAAAUCCCGAGGCUCAACCUCGGAACUGCCUUUGAUACUGGGUAUCUUGAGUUCGAGAGAGGUAAGUGGAAUUCCGAGUGUAGAGGUGAAAUUCGUAGAUAUUCGGAGGAACACCAGAGGCGAAGGCGGCUUACUGGCUCGAUACUGACGCUGAGGCGCGAAAGCGUGGGGAGCAAACAGGAUUAGAUACCCUGGUAGUCCACGCCGUAAACGAUGGAUGCUAGCCCGUUGGAUAGUAUACUAUUCAGUGGCGCAGCUAACGCAUUAAGCAUCCCCGCCUGGGGAUACGGUCGCAAGAUUA